rnacentral:lncRNA from 1 species
GUGGUUGUUGGAGGUGUUGCUGUUGCAUCUGGCGGAGCUGCCGUUGGGGCCCCAAAAGGUAACCUUCAUCAGCCACAACCCCACAACAAUGGCUCAAGGUUUUGUGCCCCAUCACCCCUCUUUCUAAAUUACUGAAAUAAACCAAGAUCUCAUAUAUUUAGGAAUAGAGGUAGUAGUAAGGUUAAAAUAGAACAGCAAGGGAUGUUUCUAAUUUGGUUAUGCUAGAAUAAUGCAUCAACUCGUGGUAUUCUUGGAUGUUACUCUAAGGUGUCAAAAUGAUAGUAAAACCUAGGCUCUUGCAUGGUUCUUGAAUUAAUUUUUCUAUUUUAGUGCUAACAAAUAUUGCCUAUGUUGAGACUCUAAACAUGUGGAUGUUCCUCUCAUUUACAGGAAUUCUACCCGAAGAAAUUCGGAGAAAGCUUGAAGCCCUAGUUAGCGACUUGCUUUAUAUGUUAUUGACUUGUAAUGCUAAAUUUGUUGAGAAUUUUGAUGUACUAUUGCACAUGUUACUCGAAUGCUGGUAGUUAUGUACAUAUACUCACUAUAUCAUCCGUUGUUUACUUGAAAU